GCCUGCGGAUGCUUUACCAUGCAGUCGAGCGGCAGCGCGGUCUUCGGACUGGCGGCGAGCGGCGAACGGGUGAGUAAUACAUCGGAACAUGCCCAGUCGUGGGGGAUAACACUUCGAAAGAAGUGCUAAUACCGCAUACGUCCUGAGGGAGAAAGCGGGGGAUCGCAAGACCUCGCGCGAUUGGAGUGGCCGAUGUCAGAUUAGCUAGUUGGUGGGGUAAAGGCCUACCAAGGCAACGAUCUGUAGCUGGUCUGAGAGGAUGAUCAGCCACACUGGGACUGAGACACGGCCCAGACUCCUACGGGAGGCAGCAGUGGGGAAUUUUGGACAAUGGGGGCAACCCUGAUCCAGCCAUUCCGCGUGAGUGAAGAAGGCCUUCGGGUUGUAAAGCUCUUUCGGCAGGAACGAAACGGCGAGCUCUAACAUAGCUCGCUAAUGACGGUACCUGAAGAAGAAGCACCGGCUAACUACGUGCCAGCAGCCGCGGUAAUACGUAGGGUGCGAGCGUUAAUCGGAAUUACUGGGCGUAAAGCGUGCGCAGGCGGUUGUGUAAGACAGGUGUGAAAUCCCCGGGCUUAACCUGGGAACUGCGCUUGUGACUGCACGGCUAGAGUAUGGCAGAGGGGGGUGGAAUUCCACGUGUAGCAGUGAAAUGCGUAGAGAUGUGGAGGAACACCGAUGGCGAAGGCAGCCCCCUGGGCCAAUACUGACGCUCAUGCACGAAAGCGUGGGGAGCAAACAGGAUUAGAUACCCUGGUAGUCCACGCCCUAAACGAUGUCGACUAGGUGUUCGGUGAGGAGACUCAUUGAGUACCGCAGCUAACGCGUGAAGUCGACCGCCUGGGGAGUACGGUCGCAAGAUUAAAACUCAAAGGAAUUGACGGGGACCCGCACAAGCGGUGGAUGAUGUGGAUUAAUUCGAUGCAACGCGAAAAACCUUACCUACCCUUGACUUGUACGGAACCCUGCUGAAAGGUGGGGGUGCUCGAAAGAGAGCCGUAACACAGGUGCUGCAUGGCUGUCGUCAGCUCGUGUCGUGAAAUGUUGGGUUAAGUCCCGCAACGAGCGCAACCCUUGUCAUUAGUUGCUACGCAAGAGCCUCUAAUGGAACUGCCGGUGACAACCGGAGGAAAGUGGGGAUAACCUCAAGCUCCCUGGCCCUAAGGGGAGGGUUCACCGCUUACAAGGGCCGUACAAGGGUUUGCCACCCCGAGUGGGGCAUCUCCCAAAGGCAUUGAUGCCGGACCUUGUGGACUCACCGUGGAUUGAAGGCCUAAAUCGGAGAAGAUCCGCGAAAUUUCCCGG
rnacentral:rRNA from 1 species